UGCAAAGAGCAGAGGUGACCCAUGGACUCGCAAUGCUGCGCUUACAUGGAAAGAGCCGAGACAAAAGCAAGCUCUUUCCUGGACGUAAUGGAGCCGGGAUGAAUCAUCAGGCCUGCUAGGGGAAGUUUGGCGGUAACAGGACCUUUGCCUUGGGCCUGGGGGCCAGCGGUUUGAGGACGGGGCCUUUGAUCGGUUUCCCUGCGGAUCCGCUGAGGGGAGCCGACUUCCUGCUGGACGUCAUGUUGUCCAGGAUGUGUGUCGCUCGAGGCGGACCCGACGAGGCCGGCGGUUUCCCCGAUCCAAGGACCUGAAAAUAUCCCAGUAAACCCUUUAACGUCGUUCCAAUUAACAGUCUCUAUGCAUCUUCCACGGUUUCUGCAGGGUUCACCAAGAUAAAUUCGGGACUUUUUAAUCCCACACAGAAUGCAAUUUAAUCAAGUUUCAUGGUCUCAUCGACCAAAUAAAGAAAGAUAUUAAUGAGAACCAAUAGUGAAGAUAGAAUAAUUGCAAGUGCAUCAAUUUAUUGACAUUUAUAUGACACUUUUUCAGCACUUCCCAGCAGUAAAUAACAGUAAUUCCUAAUAAUAUCAUUAGUCAUUCGUUAGUUAAAAACAACCUGGACCUGGAACAAUAAUACUCCAGCAAACAAAAACAAGUAACAUUACUGCCUACAGCAGGCUAGAAGAAAAAUAUCUAAGACCUCUGUGAAUGAAACUCAAGACUUUUUAAUACCUUUAAAGGUCUUUUUUGGAGGAAACUGAAAUCAAUGCCUUUUAAGAUUUUUUAAGACUGUUUUGUUUUGUCUUUAAGAUCUAAAAUAAUCAGAGGAAACGGGGCUGGUGUCAAAGAAUCUUGAGUCCUUACCUUGAAAGGAUUUGCACGUCCUACUUUACCAACUGAAAAACAAGUUAGAGAAAUCAGGUGCACAUUCAGAUUAAAAAUGUCUUAACAACGUCCUGCCCUCCAAGCAAGGUUAUUACACAGUAAACACAACGGCCAAGACUGAACCUGAUGCUCUAGUGUUUCGUAAUGACCGCUACACGCUGCUCAAACUGAAGUGAACUGGAAAACCCAUAACUCGUUUUUUUUUUUUUUCUUCCCCCCAUUAAAAAAAAAAAAUCUAACGAAUUUUUCUACAGGACACGUUUGCUUCUGAACAUUGGCGCCCGACUAAGGCUGGUGCGGAUGUCAGUAUUUGCGAGUUUAAAAAUACGAAAACCACGUAUCACACAAUACUUGUUUUUGUUUUGUUUUUUUAAAAACAUUAAAACACAAAGAAUUUUUGAUAACGACCCGUUAAGUUUUGUUAAUAAAGAAUUGUAACCACAACUGAUUGAGCAGGACGUUUUGCAGUUGAAAAAUAAACUUGAACAUGAAUAACUAAAUAAAUACACAGUGCUCUCUGGUGGGCAAAGUCUACUUUAUAUUACUAUACUAAACAACUAAUAGAAUAAAUCACUAAUAAUCUAAAUCACCUCAGCAUACUUUUGUUAUUUCUGUACUGCAACUUCUUUCCUACUUCCCAGCCGACAGACACACUGACACACGACGUACAGAACCUGCGGUGAGCUGAAAUCAGCCUCUUUAUUUUUUUUAAAUUUAAACCGUGUCUAGUGCCUCGCUGACAUUUUCACAUCUGAUUAUCAAGGCGCAGAGAGUUGCGGAAGCACGUUUGCUUUGACUGACAAGGCGUCUCGACCUGUCACACUCAAAUCAUAGCGGCCGUCCCACCUCAGCUCCGCCCUGUCUCGCUCGGUAUUCGGAUUUUAAAACUGCGACAGCGAAAACUAGAUUCUAAUUUGGGCUUAAGAAAACCAUCCCGGCAGAAACCUUAUUGUAUGUUUAAUGUCACAAACACUUUAGUCUCAUCAGUCUGUGGUUAAUACUCACACUUAUCAAAUAAAACGUUGGAUCUCCGAUGUCUGGAUCAUAUGAGCAGUCUAAACUAUCAGAUACAAAAUCAGAUGGUACAGGAUAGUGUGUCUAACAUGAGUAAUUUUUGCUUGACACUUAGCAGAUGUCACUGCUUGAAUGUGAUUUACCAUUAUCGCUGGUAACCUUACAUUAUCUUUUGAACAUGUGAAUUUCUGAUCGAUGUUUUUUUUACUCACUUGGUGUCAGAGACGGCGUCACAGGUGAGCCGGCUUCCUUAGCAAACGGGUUCACGCCUACGGGAUGAGAGACACGGAUCACACGUGAGCUGGUACCAUUGACAUCUUGUGCUCUUGCAGAGAAGACAAACGGCACCGCGCUAAAGUUUUAGCCGCUUCGGAUUCUUAUCCGUCGUGAGUGAGAAUCACGGAGGCGAAUGAUCGGUCCAAAAUUCACUCUGCGGCACGAGACAACGAGCCCCGACAAUCAGCCAGAGUCGUGAAGAACAGACUUCAGAGACGAGAAGAACAAGGAGUCCUGCAACCGGUGGUCUGGCCCCCACAGACCCCUGAUCUCAGCAUCAUAGGGUCAGUCACGAGGAGACAGGAGACACUGAGACGGACUAGAUCCACAGGAGAACCGGGGCAGGUUCUCCAAGAUACUCGGAACAACCUACCUGCCGAGCGCCUUGAAAAAACCGUUUACUGCCCUUUGCCUGAAGUUAACUGAUAAAAUUAAAACUAUUGGUGACUUUAUUUUUGAAAGCUCCCUCACUUUACUUUCGGUGCACAGCACUGUACAUGUGCAAAGAGCUGAAGAAAGAGGUGGAACUGACGUUUUCUGGUUUCUGUUGUCUCCUCUGUCUCCACCUCCUGCCCGUCCUCUUCCUCGCCGAGCUCUUCUCCUUGCUCCUCUUCCUCCUCCUGAUUACGUCUGUUGCCGUAACGUCCUCCUGCGACCUCACUCUGGCCGUACCUGUCAAAAUACGAGGCGUGUGAAUCAAACAGUCUCCCCCCUUCCGUUGGAGCAGAGAUUAUAAAAUAAACACGGAGGGGCAGAUCUUUCACACGCUGUCUUUUUUUAGCAUUACCCCGAGGCCCGCCUGACGCUGGAGUAUUCUGGCUCCUCCUCCUGCUCCUCGGGCCCUUCUUCCUGGAUCUGGCUGGCUUUCUCCAGGGCGAUCUCGCUGAGCCGCUGGGCCAGGGCCAUGCGUCUGGACCGGGACGCGUAUCGAAUGGCCAGGGUCACCACGUUCUGGGUCAUCAGCUCCGCCAGCUCCACAGAGCGAAACUCCCUCUCCAGCUUGCAGGACAGCUGGGAGAAAAACAUCCAUCAGGAGAUAACAGGGCACACUUCUGAAUCAGGGCUCAUAAUAUCGAGUGGGAUCCCACAGGCGAUGCAUGCGGAUAAUCUCACCGCUCGGAGGUUUCAUACUCACUGCAAACAUCUUCAUGAGCAGCUCCUGCUGCCCCUUCUGCGAUUUACUCUGCGCGUCCUCGUCUAUCUCGUAGCCGCUGGAGGACAGGAAGCUGUAGUGGUUGUGGAAGAGGGCCGAACGCCAGAACUGCUCCUGGAGGACGACGGAGGACGGCAGGCUGAAUGGUUGCUUCCAAUUCACAUUACACGGAAAAACAGAAUGGACGUCCAGAUCUCCACUGGAUGCGAUUCAGUCUAGCAUUCGAUCCAUCCGUCAGUGUGUCCUACCAUGAAGCGGUGUGUCAGGUGUGCAGGGGUGGAGCCCGGCUGGAAGGCCUUCUGGGGAGGCGUUGGCAGGGGUCCCUCAUACACGGGACGCAAGGGCACCAGAGGGGCAGCCGCAGGCACCACAGCACUGCCGGCGUCAUCAUCGUCCCCGAACUUGUCCCGACCGAGCCUCAGCGAUCCCGUGUCUGAGCGGAGACACACGGGGAUUCACAGGAAACUUUGAAAUCUUAAAGCCAUUAAACCCAAACCACACAUUCAGACGGUAACACACUCAGCAAGGCAGCGGAAGUUCAUGUCUAUUUCCUACGGAGCGGAGAAACUCUGAGAAACUGCUGUGUGGAUAAUUAACAAGCUUGUCUACUACUGACGUCGUGGACAAAAGUGGUGAUGAAACGAUAAACUGAUCGACAGAAAAUUGACAACUUUGAUAAUCUACUAAUCAUUUAAAACAUCUAUCAAGCAAAAAUAGCAAAUAUUACCUAGUUUGAGCUUCUAAAAUUUUUAGGAAUUGCUGCUUUUCUCUGCUCUGUAUUAUUGAAUCUUUUGGCACAUUUCACUGUUUUCUGAUAUUUUUCUGAUUUAACGAUUAAUGGAUGAAUAGAUUAUCUUGCUCACUUGGGCAAGUAAUGGAUUACAGUCACUCAAACUUCUCUAUGCAUUUUCAACAAAUUUGAUCUCAAAUGUUGUGUUAAGAGCACUGCUGCAUCCACCAUUAUAGUAGGUGGUUGACCGUGAAGUCAUUUUACUGGAAAGAAGAGUCUAGUUUGAUGCUGAUUACAGGAAUAAUGAAGUUCUGUUUCUUUAGUUAGUUAUAUUAUUUGUGUUGAGAUUAUUAUUGACUCCCAAAUGAAUUUCCAGGAAAGAAACGGCCUCUUUUUGAACCCCACUGAAUAUUUAUCACUCAUUCAUUUAUUAUUCUUCGUUCAUGCUGAACCGUGUGUUUGUUUUGGAGAAAUAACUGGAAGUGGACCAACGGCUCGCUCUCUGUUUUACCCGCGAUUUGUACCAAAUUUUAUGGUUUUUUCCAGGAAACUUUUUAGGACAUUGUUUGGAAGGCAACUGGAAUUUACGAGCCCGUAAGAUAAAGCCUCCGUGGAUUUUCUGAUUUUUCUUGGUUUUAUAUCACGUAACAUGAAUAUCUCUGGGUUUUGAACUGUUGGUUGGACGAAAGACGUCUGAGGAUGUCCCACUGGGUUUCUGGAGUAUUGUGUAUUUUGAUAUUUCAUUAUUUUCUCCCAUUUUAAAGACCAAACGAUUCAUCUUUACACUGGUGAAAAAUUAAAUUAAAAACCUGAAUACAGGGCACAUUGGCUCACUGAAUGGUCUGAUGAAGGUGAAUCUCGUGCUGUAUCAGACAGACAUUAGAGACAUCAGAUCUAAACCCAGCUGAGCAGCUAUGGGAAAAUUUGGAGCGGCGGGUUAAACAGCGUUCUCCAUCGCCAUCAUCAAAAACACCAAAAAAGAGAAUAUCUUUUGGAGUAACGGCGUUCAUCUCUCCAGUGGACUUCCACAGAUAAUCCAUAACAAGGAGCACUGAAGUUUUUCCUGAGGAAUAUUCCAGAAAGCAUGUUUAGUGAAAACGCUGAUGUUUUUCUACUCUUUUUAUGUACCCAAUUCUCAGUUCAAAAGCAGAGAUCACUUUACCUCUGAGUCACCUGCUGUGGUAACUUACUCUGUGAACCUAAACUGCUCACUCUCCUCCCCUAAAGCCUGAAGAAGCUGACUGACAAACCGUCUCAUUUCCUCAUUCAUACAAGUCGAAAUCAAAGAGCUUAAAUUUGCACAAUUUCAUGUCGAUAGAAGAAGAUCAGAAUCCUGGAUGGAUAAUAUUAGUUUAUUACUCAAGGCAAAAACUGUAGAGUCAGUCAAUUUGAAGUUGCCAAAGAUAAAGCCCCCUGGCAUCAGAAUAUUGCAUGCAAAAAUACCUUGUUAAUUAUUGGCUAAUCAUAGGAUGACAGGCUAUUCAACCUAUCUGGGAAAACACCUUUCCCAUUGGGAAAUUACGCACCAAUGCACUGAAGACCUGGAUGUUCGAGUAUUCCACCAGCACACGUUUGUGGAUCGGAGGCCGUGAAAAGUCUCGACACUCCAAACGCAAAUGUGACCUGAUCAACAACAUGUCCGGCGACCCGUGCACACACAUUUAACAAUCCUUACGUCCAUGCAAAAGAACAUCACAAUACUUUUAAACCCUUAUAUGCACAGGAAGCUUUUAUCAAAAGCAAAUCUGAUCAGAUCAGUGAGCUUGAAGUUGGACAUAUAUACAUGUAAAAUACUGAUAUUCAAGUUGCAAUGUAUUUAUUUGUAAAAUUGUUUUACAUUUGUCCAAAAUGUUUGG